rnacentral:lncRNA from 13 species
AUGCAUGAGGACUGCAGAUCACAACACAUUGGGUGGCUGAGGCUAUGUUGUGUAGCACAUUACACACACACACACAAUCUGCCCUGUGAGGAGGUGACAAAUGGGGAGGAGGAGACGAUGAUGUUUGGAUGAAGGCUUUAUUUAUUGUUGUUGUAUAUGUACACACUAUCAGCUGAUACUAUUAUAAUUUAAAGGCAUAGUCCACCCCAAACACAAAAUGAAUUAAACCUCAGGAUUUCAAACUCCAUGCAGCUAUAUAUCUUCACUUUUGCUAAUUUAUUUUAUUUUAUCUUUAUUUAACUGGGCACUUAAAGAAGACCAGGCUGUUUAGUUUUUAAUCUGCACUCCUCGGGUUUAAAAAAAGGUGCUAGCUAGAACCUAAAAGAGUUCUUUGGCUGUCCCCAUAAGAGAACCCUUUGAAGAACACUUUUUGGUUUCAGGUAGAACAGUUUUGGUUCCAGGUAGAACCCGUUUAGGUUCCAUGUUAAACCCUUUCCACAGUGCGUACUACAGGGAACCCAAAAGGGUUCUACCUGGUUCUACCGUUUGUCUAAGAUUGUGGAUUUAGCAAGCUUAACAGAAGCUGCAUUUUCUAAUUGUGAUACAUUUAUUUUGACCAUGUUCAUACCGUAAAUACAUUCACAGAAACGUUUUAGUCACAAAGAAAAUAGCUAAUUAUCAGUCUAAUCAGUCGCUGACCUGGCCUUGAUCACGAUCCCUUCAGGCUGUAGCAACAGUACUUUGCCUCCUUGAUGGGUGCUGCUUGGUUCCAUCUUGUAAGAUAUUGAUGUUGUAUGAAGCCAUUUUCCAACAUUCCAACCAAAGGAAGAAUGUCAGAGGCUUAAAAUAUCCUCUGUGAGUUAAUAUUUCAUAGUCAUCUAGCCCCCCCCCUCUUUAUAUCCCAAUUCCCCAUUUCUGCAGUAGCUCCUGGCUCGGAGAUGGGGAGAUUUUUGGGCUCCGAGAGAGGCAAGAAGUGUCACUACAGUGCCUGGUUCAAAUCCAGGCUGUGUCACAUCUGGCUGUGAUUGGAAGUCCCAUAGGGCGGCGCACAAUUGGCCCAGUGUCGUCUGGGUUUGGCCGGGGUAUACUGUCAUUGUAAAUAGCAAUUUGUUCUUAACUGACUUGCCUAGUUAAAUAAAGGUGAAAUAAAAAUGGAUUGUUACCAGAGUUGCACAGAGGAAACCAAGCAGUCUCUCCCACUUCACUGAAGAUAGACCAUAACUU